rnacentral:lncRNA from 1 species
GUUUUCCAGCAGAUAGCAUCAGUGGUCGCAGGCAGAAUUUGCUGUAUGUAACAGAAGGUUUUCACUCAGGCUUAAAAGAGUAAUUUAAUUGCAUUCUCAUGAAAGUUAAAUGCUGUUUGCUCAGAUUAAAGGAGGAAGAAACACUCUUCACAUUUCAGCCCCCACACUUCUGAGUGCCUGUUUAUCCCGGAGAGAAGGCGUCAGCCACCAGUUUGUACCGGGAUAAAUAACAAAUCCUCUAAUUGAGAGCCAACGGAUCCUAAUUGACUUUAUGAUCAUCCUCCAGCUGGGCUCAGCCCUUCUCUCCAGUCAUGGCAUGGAGCAUCCUUUGUUUAAGGCACCCUGAGGUGUGUGAAACCUCUGAGUGCUGCUCUUGUACAGUUUGAAAUGCAACAACUGCAUGCAGAUCUGCUGCUUCCCGUUUCAAAGGCCUAACCAAGAGCGUUCUGAGGCAAUCCAAAAGCUCUUUGUGGCCUUGUUGGUGCACAAAAGAGACUUUCAAAUUUCCCCAUUUGUCUGCCUGGAUCCUUUCUCCAGCCUUGAUGGCCACAACUGAAUCAUUUCAGGUCACUAUUAUCUUCUGGUCUCAGCAGAAGAGCAGUGGUGUAAUUAACAUACAAAUAUCAAUAUGUUUAGAAAGAAGAAAUAUUGUAGGUGGAUUACACACUGCCUGUACACAGAUUUCCAUUGUAACAGUGUUUAAAAUGAUUAAUUUUCAUUUAUUUCCUUGCUACAGCAUGAUCAUAGUGUGUCUGCUGUGAAUUUUUUCAGUGCAAAAUUCAGAAUUGUGUUUCAUAUUUAUAAUUGGUCAAGUAACCCAGAUGCCAAUUGCUGUUUGCUUUCUGUUUAUUGCACUUACGGAUGAAUUAUGUAAAUAUUCCCAGAGUGGCCACACUAGGUUUCAGAAUGAACACCUUCAGAGAAUCAUGGAAUAAAAUCUGGAAUGAUUUGGGUUGGAAGGGACCU